rnacentral:rRNA from 1 species
GAUGAACGCUGGCGGCGUGCCUAAUACAUGCAAGUCGAGCGAACAGAUGAGGAGCUUGCUCCUCUGACGUUAGCGGCGGACGGGUGAGUAACACGUGGAUAACCUACCUAUAAGACUGGGAUAACUUCGGGAAACCGGAGCUAAUACCGGAUAAUAUAUUGAACCGCAUGGUUCAAUAGUGAAAGACGGUUUCGCUGUCACUUAUAGAUGGAUCCGCGCCGCAUUAGCUAGUUGGUAAGGUAACGGCUUACCAAGGCGACGAUGCGUAGCCGACCUGAGAGGGUGAUCGGCCAAACUGGAAAUGAGACACGGUCCAGACUCCUACGGGAGGCAGCAGUAGGGAAUCUUCCGCAAUGGGAGAAAGCCUGACGGAGCAACGCCGCGUGAGUGAUGAAGGUCUUCGGAUCGUAAAACUCUGUUAUUAGGGAAGAACAAAUGUGUAAGUAACUAUGCACGUCUUGACGGUACCUAAUCAGAAAGCCACGGCUAACUACGUG